rnacentral:rRNA from 1 species
CUGUGAAAGCCUUCUGCUUAACGGAAGAACAGCAGUUGAAACUACAGUGCUUGAGUGCGGGAGGGGAGAGUGGAACUUCUGGUGGAGCGGUGAAAUGCGUAGAUAUCAGAAGGAACGCCGGCGGCGAAAGCGGCUCUCUGGCCCGUAACUGACGCUGAGUGUGCGAAAGCUAGGGGAGCAAACGGGAUUAGAUACCCCGGUAGUCCUAGCCGUAAACGAUGGGCACUAAGUAGAGGG